rnacentral:rRNA from 1 species
CCUACGGGGGGCAGCAGUGGGGAAUCUUCCGCAAUGGACGAAAGUCUGACGGAGCAACGCCGCGUGAACGAUGACGGCCUUCGGGUUGUAAAGUUCUGUUAUACGGGACGAAUGGUACGACGGCCAAUACCCGUCGUAAGUGACGGUACCGUAAGAGAAAGCCACGGCUAACUACGUGCCAGCAGCCGCGGUAAUACGUAGGUGGCAAGCGUUGUCCGGAAUUAUUGGGCGUAAAGGGCGCGCAGGCGGCGUCGUAAGUCGGUCUUAAAAGUGCGGGGCUUAACCCCGUGAGGGGACCGAAACUGCGAUGCUAGAGUAUCGGAGAGGAAAGCGGAAUUCCUAGUGUAGCGGUGAAAUGCGUAGAUAUUAGGAGGAACACCAGUGGCGAAAGCGGCUUUCUGGACGACAACUGACGCUGAGGCGCGAAAGCCAGGGGAGCAAACGGGAUUAGAUACCCCAGUAGUC